CCUCCAGGUAACCAUUCACCAGUCUUGUACAGUAGAGCGGGACAUUACGUUUACUCUCAGCGGAAUUCACCCGAGAAGGCAUCAGUUCCUGCACUGCACUGGUCUUCACCACGAUUAGUAUAAGGUGGAGUAAUGCACGAAUGGAUAAAAAGGAGUGAGAGGUUAUCAGCUGUUGAGGAGCAAAUGGAGAUCCGUGUCCAGGGGAGUGAGGCUAUUGCGAGUGUGAAAGGUUGUCCAGGAAGUAACUAAGAAGACAUGAACAGAGAGGUGGUGAUCCUCGGUGGAGUGAUGAAGUAGAGCAGCCAGCACCCCAAGUAGAGCAGGCACUGUGGAAAAAUAGUU